GGAAAAACAUCAUUCUCUAUCAGUGAAAAUGACAUCAUCAAAUGCCAAAUUUACCUAGAAAACUGAGGUUUCAAGAGGCAAUGCCAUGUAUCCAGGCAUGUGGUGAUAAUGUACUUCCUGAUUCUCAUAUGGUUGGAAGAGGUGAUGGGACUACUUCUGAUCAAUAAAUUUGUCCCUGGCUCUGAGGAAGUUGGAAAUCAUCUUGCCUGGGGCUUUCUGGCUUUGUGGAUCCUCAUCUGAAAGUGGUGGUGACAUAAUUUUACCCCUCCC